rnacentral:rRNA from 1 species
GUAAGCGUGCGCAGGCGGUUUGUAAGACUGUCGUGAAAUCCCCGGGCUCAACCUGGGAAUGGCGAUGGUGACUGCAAGGCUAGAGUUUGGCAGAGGGGGGUAGAAUUCCACGUGUAGCAGUGAAAUGCGUAGAUAUGUGGAGGAACACCGAUGGCGAAGGCAGCCCCCUGGGUCAAAACUGACGCUCAUGCACGAAAGCGUGGGGAGCAAACAGGAUUAGAUACCCGGGU